GUGAGGAAUUUUCCGCAAUGGGCGAAAGCCUGACGGAGCAAUGCCGCGUGAAGGAUGAAGGCCUAUGGGUUGUAAACUUCUUUUCUCAGAAAAGAAUUAUGACGGUAUCUGAGGAAUAAGCAUCGGCUAACUCUGUGCCAGCAGCCGCGGUAAGACAGAGGAUGCAAGCGUUAUCCAGAAUGAUUGGGCGUAAAGCGUCUGUAGGUUGUUUAAAAAGUAUUCUGUCAAAGAUUAGGGCUUAACCCUAGAUAGGCAGAAUAAACUUUUAAGCUAGAGUUUGGUAGAGGCAGAGGGAAUUCCCGGUGGAGCGGUGAAAUGCGUAGAUAUCGGGAGGAACACCAAAGGCGAAGGCACUCUGCUGGGCCAAUACUAACACUGAGAGACGAAAGCGAGGGGAGCAAAUGGGAUUAGAUACCCUAGUAGUCC
rnacentral:rRNA from 1 species